AGAGUUUGAUCCUGGCUCAGGAUGAACGCUAGCUACAGGCUUAACACAUGCAAGUCGAGGGGCAGCAUGGUCUUAGCUUGCUAAGGCCGAUGGCGACCGGCGCACGGGUGAGUAACACGUAUCCAACCUGCCGUCUACUCUUGGACAGCCUUCUGAAAGGAAGAUUAAUACAAGAUGGCAUCAUGAGUCCGCAUGUUCACAUGAUUAAAGGUAUUCCGGUAGACGAUGGGGAUGCGUUCCAUUAGAUAGUAGGCGGGGUAACGGCCCACCUAGUCUUCGAUGGAUAGGGGUUCUGAGAGGAAGGUCCCCCACAUUGGAACUGAGACACGGUCCAAACUCCUACGGGAGGCAGCAGUGAGGAAUAUUGGUCAAUGGACGAGAGUCUGAACCAGCCAAGUAGCGUGAAGGAUGACUGCCCUAUGGGUUGUAAACUUCUUUUAUAUGGGAAUAAAGUGAGCCACGUGUGGCUUUUUGUAUGUACCAUACGAAUAAGGAUCGGCUAACUCCGUGCCAGCAGCCGCGGUAAUACGGAGGAUCCGAGCGUUAUCCGGAUUUAUUGGGUUUAAAGGGAGCGUAGAUGGAUGUUUAAGUCAGUUGUGAAAGUUUGCGGCUCAACCGUAAAAUUGCAGUUGAUACUGGAUAUCUUGAGUGCAGUUGAGGCAGGCGGAAUUCGUGGUGUAGCGGUGAAAUGCUUAGAUAUCACGAAGAACUCCGAUUGCGAAGGCAGCUCACUGGACUGCAACUGACACUGAUGCUCGAAAGUGUGGGUAUCAAACAGGAUUAGAUACCCUGGUAGUCCACACAGUAAACGAUGAAUACUCGCUGUUUGCGAUAUACAGUAAGCGGCCAAGCGAAAGCGUUAAGUAUUCCACCUGGGGAGUACGCCGGCAACGGUGAAACUCAAAGGAAUUGACGGGGGCCCGCACAAGCGGAGGAACAUGUGGUUUAA
rnacentral:rRNA from 1 species